rnacentral:rRNA from 1 species
AGUGAACGCUGGCGGUAGGGCUAACACAUGCAAGUCGAACGGCAGCACAGUAAGAGCUUGCUCUUACGGGUGGCGAGUGGCGGACGGGUGAGGAAUACAUCGGAAUCUACUUUUUCGUGGGGGAUAACGUAGGGAAACUUACGCUAAUACCGCAUACGACCUACGGGUGAAAGCAGGGGAUCUUCGGACCUUGCGCGAUUGAAUGAGCCGAUGUCGGAUUAGCUAGUUGGCGGGGUAAAGGCCCACCAAGGCGACGAUCCGUAGCUGGUCUGAGAGGAUGAUCAGCCACACUGGAACUGAGACACGGUCCAGACUCCUACGGGAGGCAGCAGUGGGGAAUAUUGGACGAUGGGCGCGAGCCUGAUCCAGCCAUACCGCGUGGGUGAAGAAGGCCUUCGGGUUGUAAAGCCCUUUUGUUGGGAAAGAAAAGCAGCAGGUUAAUACCCCGCUGUUCUGACGGUACCCAAAGAAUAAGCACCGGCUAACUUCGUG